GGGGGUGACUGGCUUCGACUUCGGUAUCUGACACGGGAGAAGCGAGCCGUGGUCUCCGGAACCACGUUAAAGAGCCGGAACCAAAACAAACGCCGAGCAUCCGCUCGCGAUCGCUGCCUAAGAGCUAGCGACGUCUGACCGGCCCCAGCCCUGCGGGUCGGAUCCAGGCGCCAUCAAGCAGGGCUCACCCGAUCGGCCCCGUCAGCGGGCCGGACGGGGACACCUCAGCUGACUGGGGUCCCGCACCGGUGCCGGUGACGGAGCGGGGCCCGAGAUCCUCCCACCGGAUGCGCUCGGAGAAGGCCCGUCGAAGAGUCGGAGGACGCGGGUUCGAUUCCCGCCACCUCCACGG
rnacentral:tmRNA from 1 species